rnacentral:snoRNA from 1 species
GGGAUAUGAUGAGUGGUUGGGUCUUGCACUAAUAUGCAAGUUGGGUGUUUGCCCCAAGCCUGGUUACGACAAUUGGGCACCCUCCAUUAACCAAUCUGAUCCC